CUAUGGCUGCAAUACAGUAGAGAACAUGGAUCUGAAAGGUGCUAAAAUGGAUGAGAUCAGACAUUACAGGCCUGGGAGAAAUGCGAGAUGCUUUAAGAACCAAACAACCUUGCAAUACUGGGGAUUGAAGCAAGAGCUUCUGCAUGCUAAGCAAGCAUUAUACUUAGGUACAUUUGCAGCCCUGCUUAGAGACAGAUCUCAUACAGGGGUCUACAGGGUCUCACUACACAG